UAAUCUUUUAAAAAAACUAAUAGAAAAUGCUAAAAAUCAGAUUCAAUUUAAUCCAUUUUCCCAUCAAAUACAGAGAGAAGCUUCCAUAACUGAAAAGAGUGAAGCGAACGACACAAGAAUCACUACGAAACGUUUCUCGCCAUGCCUAUUAGAAGCUUUUUAGAGGUGGAACCUCCAAGUCCACUCAGAUACCUUAUCGGAGCCGCCGUAAUGAUGAUCGGAGUUGUUUUACCCGUCGGUUACAUGAUGUUUCGGAAUAAGCGCGUUCCUUCUUCUUCUUCCUACACCAAACAGACGUAGGAACAAGGUUUUGAUAUAGGGAGAUGAUGGUGGUAGUGGUGAUGAUAGUGAUGAGGUGAGAAGACUUCGAUUUACUAGAUUUGGGUUUGUCAUUUGGCUAUGUUUGGGGGAAAUGCUUGAUUAGGUUAGAGGCUUUGAUAGAUCCAUGAUUUGAUCAAUUGUUGUAAAUGCACUGACAUUCCAAAUCUUCUUAGUGGUUGUUCACCCGAUUCUGAACUCUGUAUACAUACUUGCCAUUGUCUUUCCAUAUUUUUACUUACGGAGUUCAAUGUUCUGCACUGUACUCCUUUUACUGGUAUAGGAAUCUUUAACAAACACAUGAUAUUUAUUUAUUUUUCAUUUUACUUA